UGCCCAGCAACUCCUAUCCCUACCCCCUCGUGAUACCGGACGGAAACUAUGAGCAACCUUAGGGUAGAUCGGGCAACAAACCCGGUGGGAACUUGGGUCAUAUGCUGACAGGGAAGG
rnacentral:ribozyme from 1 species